AUGAACGCUGGCGGCGUGCCUCAUCCCUGCAAGUCGAGCGAACGGACGAGAAGCUUGCUUUUCUGAUGUUAGCGGCGGACGGGUGAGUAACACGUGGAUAACCUACCUAUAAGACUGGGAUAACUUCGGGAAACCGGAGCUAAUACCGGAUAAUAUUUUGAACCGCAUGGUUCAAAAGUGAAAGACGGUCUUGCUGUCACUUAUAGAUGGAUCCGCGCUGCAUUAGCUAGUUGGUAAGGUAACGGCUUACCAAGGCAACGAUGCAUAGCCGACCUGAGAGGGUGAUCGGCCACACUGGAACUGAGACACGGUCCAGACUCCUACGGGAGGCAGCAGUAGGGAAUCUUCCGCAAUGGGCGAAAGCCUGACGGAGCAACGCCGCGUGAGUGAUGAAGGUCUUCGGAUCGUAAAACUCUGUUAUUAGGGAAGAACAUAUGUGUAAGUAACUGUGCACAUCUUGACGGUACCUAAUCAGAAAGCCACGGCUAACUACGUG
rnacentral:rRNA from 1 species